rnacentral:rRNA from 1 species
GAUGAACGCUGGCGGCGUGCCUAAUACAUGCAAGUCGAGCGAACAGACGAGGAGCUUGCUCCUCUGACGUUAGCGGCGGACGGGUGAGUAACACGUGGAUAACCUACCUAUAAGACUGGGAUAACUUCGGGAAACCGGAGCUAAUACCGGAUAAUAUAUUGAACCGCAUGGUUCAAUAGUGAAAGACGGUUUUGCUGUCACUUAUAGAUGGAUCCGCGCCGCAUUAGCUAGUUGGUAAGGUAACGGCUUACCAAGGCAACGAUGCGUAGCCGACCUGAGAGGGUGAUCGGCCACACUGGAAGUGAGACACGGUCCAGACUCCGACGGGAGGCAGCAGUAGGGAAUCUUCCGCGAUGGGCGAAAGCCUGACGGAGCAACGCCGCGUGAGUGAUGAAGGUCUUCGGAUCGUAAAACUCUGUUAUUAGGGAAGAACAAAUGUGUAAGUAACUAUGCACGUCUUGACGGUACCUAAUCAGAAAGCCACGGCUAACUACGUG